rnacentral:tRNA from 1 species
AGGAUAAUAGUUAAAUUAACAUUUAAUUUGCAUUUAAAAAAUACUGAAUAUCAGUUUAUCUUA